ACGUGUCCGGAGGGAGCUGCUGGCAGAGGCUUCUCAAGGGCAAGGGCUUUGACUCAUCAGGUCUGAAUCCCAGCCAUAGUAGAGAGCGGAUGCUUAAUGCUUAAUAAAUAUUUUAUGGAUGAAUGAAUAAAUUAUUGAACAAUGGCAGGAAAAUGACAAAAAGUAAGAUGCACGUGUGCUGAAUAGGAAAAUGUUGGGAAAAUAUGUGAUAGUUAUAACUAAGUACAUAUGGUUGCAGCAGCAACUGCAUCAAAUUUAAAGGUGUACUACAAUUAGGUAGAAGAGCACAAGAAGGCUGUGCAAAAAAAUAUGCUCUUGGCACUUUGUAUCAUUCUGUUUGAGUGUGAGAGAAACAAGGGGCAUGAUGGCUCACUCUCUUGUACACCCCACGUGAGAGAACAAUUGAGCAGGACUCACUCUCUUAACUCCAUGUAGGUGGGCUAUAGGGGUAAGUGGAGGAGAAGUAAGGGAAUCAAGGACUGUUACCAUAGGUGGUCUGUCUCAGGAAAGCCUGAAAGGGCAUCAAAUAGCAGCAACUCUUAGAAGUGGGGGAGGAGAAAGCAAAUUUCAAUCUAACCCUCCUGGGUGGGUGUGACUCUCUGAAAGCCUCUAGCACCAAGUGGGGCUCAUAUAAGGGAUGUAUGUUCUUACUAACAGACAAUAUCACUGACCUGUGGGUCUAUAACCUAUAGACCCUAUAACCCACCUGCAAAGUCUUCCAUCAAGUGGGACCAGGGAGGGAAGACCAAGGAUCUCUCCCUUGUCCAAACCCUUCACAUCAAUCUCUCAUCAUCUAAAUCCUGUUGGCUUUACCUUCUGACAAGAUAGAUACCUGGUUGUUCUCCAAAUCUCCACUUUACUGCUACAGCACUAGUUCAGAUAUCAUUGUUGCUUUCCUGGACCAGGGCAAUCAUCUUCUAAUUGGUCUCUUUUCCUCAAGAUUACCCAUCUUCAAUUCUUUCCCUCUAAUACAGUCCAAACGAUAUUCCUAACACAAAAACCUGAUAAUAUUGCUUCACUACUUAAAGUCCAUCAGCUGUUCCUACUCCCUGAACAAGACAUGUAAUCUCUUCAAGAUGCUACAUGCAAGACCCUUCAAGAUGUGGCUUCCUCCUAUUUGUCUGGUCUCGUCUCUUGCCAUUACCCCUCAAUUACCCCCACACAAACAAAAUUCUACAUUUAUAACAGACAUCUUAUAGUUUCCUUAAUGUACUGUAUGUUCCCCAUGUUCUUCUUCUGCCCAGGGCACCCUUUCCUUCUUGUGUGCCUAGUUCUAUAAGUCCAAAAAUCUCCCCCUCAGAGAAGCCUUUCCUGUCACCAAUCUCCUCCACCCCACACCACGUUAUGUGCUCCCUCUAUAUUGCCUGUGUACUUUCCCAUUAUUAUUUCCAUAACCAUUGAUAUAUUAAUUGCCUACAAUGUGUCAGGCACUGUUCUAGGCAUGCAUUGACAUUAAAAUGGUAAAAACAGACAUAAUUCCCGUCCUGAUGGAAUGGACGUUCUACUGAGGGAGACAAACAAUGAAACAACCACCAAUAAACGCACAAGAGCACUGAACAAGUAAAUGUGAAAAAUAUAAGAUAACGAUAUAUGCUAGGUAGAGAAUUCAAUGGGGUCGUGUGAUAGAAUGACUGGUUGGUUAUAUAAGACAGAGAGGUCAGGGCAGAUCUCUCAAAGAGGUGACAUUGAAGUUAAGAGCAGAAUGAUGAGAAGAAACCAUAUCAUGAGAAGCAGGAGGAAGAGCGUUAAAGAGAGAAGAAAAGGCUAAUGCAAAGUCUUUAAGGUGGAAGUGAAGUGUGGAGAGUUCAGAGAACAUGAAGACAUCAGUGUGGCUGGAAUAGAAUGAGCAAGGGGAAGAAGAGCAUGAAAUGAAGAUCUGGUGACAGAUCACUCUGGGAUUUGGAAGCGAAAACAAGGGGAGGAGGUUUUAUUCUAAGUGAGCAGGGCAGAGGAAUUUUUAAGAGAGGUAGUGAUGUGGUCUGAUUGAUGUUGAAAAUUGGGAGGUCCUAGAGCUUAAUUGAAAAGAUAGGUUGGGGCCAGAUCUUGUGGGUCUGAAACGACAGUCGGUAGAAGGGAUCCAAUUUCCAGGGUUCCGAACAGAGAAUCAUCCUGAACAGGUGCAUCUAAGAAUGUUUUUUGGAUGAAUUAGAAGCAGGGUGGCUGAGCUGCAGGAGGCUACUGUGAUAGUCCCAGUGGGAAUUAAGGAGAGCUUGGCUUGGGCUGGGGUCAAUGAGAAGGCAAGGGAGGGAGGUUGAUGUGAGGGUCGUUGAGGAAGCGAACCACACAACUUGUUGGUGGCAAAGUCCGGAUUUUACAAUGCAUUACAACUGACAAUUUCCCUUACGUUUCUGUGUGGUGGCAUAGCACAAAUAUUAGUAGCUCCAACUUAAAAGUAGAAAGUGAAACACAGUGAAAAACGAGGUCUCUAAUCCAAAAAGCAAAUUAGAACUAAAGGCAAGUAGGAGCCCAGGACAUCAACUCUAAGAAUCAAAGCAUAUAUGUAAAGCAGACUACUGAUUGCCAUUAUUUUGAGUGAAAUAUUAGCAUUAAAAAUAAAGUAGCAUACCUAAAAUUUUUAGUCUUUUGGACAAUGGCAGAGCUAUAUUCCUACAAAUAUCAAGGGUUAAUUUUGUGUUUAACUUUAUAAAAUUUCUGUUUUGCUUUUCAAACAGAGAAGUUAGACACCUAGAAGACAAUAUAAUGAAUGUCAUUUAUGAAACCACCACGUUUCUACUCUCUAGGGUUAGGUCCAGGGUCUUUCUUCAGUUCCAUCUGUUCUGUGGUAAGUCAUUUUGAUUUUUGAGUUCUUGAUUAAUAAUAAGCUUCCAUUUACAGAAUUCUGAAGCUGCACAUUCUAAGAGCUGGUGGCCAGCCCAAGAGAGUGGGAAUCAUUUAGUUGCAUUUUGAAAAUCAGGUAAUGGAAGAAAGAGUAAGAACUAGAAGCCACAGACCUACGAUGGUUAAAAGGUAUAAGUGGAAGCGAAUCCAGACCUGCUCCUUAGCCCCCUAAAGCUCUGAUGAAUAUUGGCAUAAUUUAACUUUAAGUCCCAAACCUGGAGCCCUUGUCUGAGAGCUAUCUGAUUGAAAACACCCCACCAGAUAACCCUUAACCUCUUCCCUCAGGUCCUAGAGGUUAAUUGAAGCCACUCUCUGAACUUGAAGCCAAAUUAUAUACAGAGUUUGAGAUUCCUGAAUCCCAAAGGUUAAAUGUGUUCAAGAGCAAAAGAGGAGAUCUUGUCUUUGGAAUAUUUAAAACAAUUUCAGGGCUGGAGUUCUUAGCACUUCAAUGCAGAGUUCCAGUCUAAUUUCAGGAUGCCAACUGAGGAGCUUCUAAGCAUAAAGCAUAGGAGGUGAUAGGGUGGAGUUCUUAACCUGGGACCCGUGUGGAGGUCUGGGAACCCCUGCAGUUGUCCCAAAGCUUGGUGUUUAUGUGGAUGUUUGUGUUUUCAUCUAGGAAGAGAGCUUGUAACUUUCAUCAGAAUCUCAAAGAACUCUAUGAUCCGAUAUGUUGACAGACCUCUGAAAUAAGGGAGGAUCCCAAAGAGAAUAGAAGGAAGGGAGAAUAACUGCUCAUUCAUUUAAGUUGAGCAAUUCAGAAGAAAUAUGAUGUGCAAAACAGGAGACAAAGUCAUCUACAUUCUUAUGUCAUUGGGGUUCAGACUUAGGACAGACGCAGACUCCUUCCUCUUCUCUUCAUCGUCCUCUUAGCUCUCUUCUCCCCAACACAGAAUGUCCUCAUUAUAGUGGAUGAGCUGAAGUGGUUUGGGCCUUACCUCAUCUUCAUGGCGUUUGAAAAGUGGACUACAGUAAAGUAAAGAGGUGGGAUAAAUCAAGUUUAAGUGCUACUUUCUCCUGGAAUCCCACAGAAAGGGGCUCUAAACCAGAGACAGUCUGGCUCUUCUCUAGCCACAGACUGCAGGAUUUUGGAGCCUGGAACUGUGUGAGAUACUCUUGUAACUACAAUAAUAAUGACAAAAAGGCUCUACCCCAUCCACAACUGAGUAAGACUUUGUCUGGCUUUCUCGUCUGAGUUCCUAACCUUGGUAACCAGGUGCACUGUGGAGGGAACACCUAUGCACAUCCAUACCUCAGAAAUGGGACCGGAGACCUCGAUGCUUCGUCCUACCUAAUGAAACCCUGGCGGCCCACCUGGCGAGAGUCCAGGCUGCCACUCCAUAUGGCCUGCUACCUUGUCCUUGUCAGCUUCAGCACUCAGGAUUCUCUGUUAAAAUGCCAACCUUCCCGGGAGAGGUAGACGUUACAAUAUUAUCAUCGUUGAGCAUCUACUUUGUAAAAGGCAAGUUUCUUAAAGAACUACCUAACUGAGAAACGGGAAGAGACGACAAAUAUUUUGAAGAGUGAGGUUGCUAGGAAGCAACGAUGGUGAACAAUCUAUAUACAAUAACACGGCAAGGCUCAUAGAUGACAUGCUGAGUAAGAGAAGCCAGACAAAAAAAGAGGACAUACUGAAAGAUUCUGUAGAUAAAGUUCAAAAACAGAUGCUCCAGAGCUAAGGACUACCCACUCCAUUCCACACCCCAUCUCCCUCCUGCAUCCUGGGAUGGCUUCAGUUCAGCUGGUAUCCAGUCAGGAUGGAGUUAAAGAAUACAAACAGAACCUCGUCUCCAAUCAGAUGAACAGGAUAUUUGGCAAUAACAAGUUGCUUCUGAGGAAAAUCCCGUUCGUGUGCAUUGCCAUUGUUGCUGCCGGUGCCUGGACCAGGACCCCAGCCCGCAGGUUUCCCCGGGGCUUCCUUACGGGCAUCGUCUCAAAGUGUCUGGGAAGAACUACGCAGGGCCCUUUCUGAAAACGGAAAGCUGACAUGAUCUGGCAGUUCACCAGAACUCUGUGCAGGCUUUGGAUCCACGCUGUUGUUUAUUCCCGGUAUCCCUGUAAGGAAGCUUGGGGGACGAAGUAAAAACGUUUUGUAUUCUUGUGUUUUUAUUCUCAUUUACAAGGCAUAAAUAGAUGGACUAGGUUUUGAUCUUGAUUUAAUUCUAACGUUUAUUGAGCACAGCACAAGCAGUUUUCAAGAGUUAAUUAUCUGGCCAUGGCCCAUAUUUCAGGAGUUAAUCAUCAGGUCGAAGACUCACACACAUAAAUAUGUGUGAUGAUCAGUACCAUAAUCCCACAGAGUGCUGGUGAGUUCAAUAGAUGAAGAGAUUGCUCCCAUUUGGCGAUUUAGGAGAAAUCUCCUUUCAUGAGCUGGUCUUGUAGGAUGGGAUAGAUUUAAAUAAAUGCAGAUGCGGGAAAGUGGAGGCAACAGCUCAAGUAGAGAUCUGGAAAUAGAAAAGCACAGAGUGAGUUCAAGGAAAGGCAACUACUCUAGGGUGUGGAGAACCUAAGUCAAAGAUCAGAGACUCCCUGGCCAGACCUCCAGCACACAGUGCAAUGGGGAAUAGAAAUGAUAAUGUGUCAGGUCAGGUUCUCCAGGAAACAGGCGCCUAGACGGGUAGACAUUCAAGAGCUGUUUGGGGAGAAACACCUGUAGAGGAUAAAGGGAACAAAACAGAGGUAGGGAGGGAGAGCCUUCAGAAUGGGGUACAAGCAAGACAUCUAUAAAAGGAAAAGGGGGAAGGAAAGAGGAAAGGAGGAAAGCAUCGGAAGCAUUUCAGACUGCAGCACAGCCCAGGGGUAGUUUCAGCCAGGCCGGUGGGGAAUCCUGGGUGCAAAGCCAUCCGUCAGAGGAGACCCACACCCGUGUGAUGGACUUGUGCUGUAUCACAAAUGUCGUCGGUCAUUGGCUGGGAGCAGCCUGAGGGAUGUGCAGCCUUGGCAUGAAAGUGCUGGUGGAUCCAGAGGGGUAGCGGCUGGGGCUGUCAGUCAACUCUGCUCCCUCUAUGAGAGGUCUGAGUGGUGAUUUUCGUGGCUACCACAUUUGGUCAGCAUCAUUGAAUGACUCCUGAUUGAAGAGACACAGCUUCUAAUAAUUCAUCAUUAAGGAUAAUGUUUGUUGCAGUGUUUGCUAGCUGGCCUUUUUUGGUUAAAGAAAUUCCCUCUUCUGGCUUACUAGAAGUUUUUCUUUUCAUUUUUAAAAAUUAGGAAUUUUUUUUUUCAAUAUUGAGGUGAUUAUAUGGUUUUUCUCCUAUAAUCUAUUAAUAUGAUGAAUUAUGAUUAGAGAUUUUCUGGUGUAAAUUCUACCCUUAUAUUUCAGGAAUAAACCUGAAUUGAGCAUGAGGUUCUAUUUUUUAUUUUCUGCUAUAUUUGGUUUGCUAAUGCUAUGUUUAAGAUUUUUUUCACAUGUAUUCAUGAGGGAGAUUGGACUAUAGCUUUUCUUUUUUGCAAGUCUUUGGUUUUUGAAUCAAGGACAUUUUAACUUCAUAGAAUAAUUGGGGACUAGUCCUUCAUUUAAUAUGUCUAGAAAAUGUUAAAUACAUUUGGAAAAAUAUGCUCAGUUUUUUUUUUUUUUGAAAAUUGGUAGAACUUACCUGUAAAAUUAUCUAAGCCUGAUGUUUUCUUCGUGGGAAGAGUUUUAACUCCAGAUUCAAAUUCUUUAACCAUUAUGGGAGACCAUUUAGGUUUUCUAUUUCUUCAGGAGUAAAUUUGUAAGUAAAUUUUUUUUCAGCAAAUUUGUUUAUUUUGACAAUUACCAAAUAUAUUUCCACUAAAUUGUUCUUAAUGUUUUUUUAAUUUAAAAAAAUCUGCAAUAUCUUUAGAUAUCUCCUUUAUAUUCUCCUUAUUUUGCAUAUUUAUACCAUUUUUCUUUUUUCCUUCAUCAGUUUGUCUACUUUUUGAUCCUCUUGUUCUUUGUUUCUAUAUAUUAAUUUCUGCUCUUAAAUUUAUUAUUUCUCUCUUUUUACUUUUUUAGGGUUUAUUCUAUCAUUUUUCUCUCUAAUUUCUUAAGUUAGGUGUCUAAUUUUUAGCCUUCUUUGCUUUUCUUAUAAUACAAGCAUUAAAAUGAUACAGUUUCCCUGACAUUUCUUUUGCUGCACUCCACAAUUGCUGAUAUGAAGUGUUUUUAACAUCAUUCAAUUAUGAAAAUUCAAAGUUUUCUUUGUGAUUUUUUUGACUUAUGAGUUUCUUAAAUAUUUUAAAGUUAUUAAGCAUACUGGGAUUUUUAAAAGUUUAUCUUUUUAUUAUCAAGUUAAAGCAAAUAGAAGAGACUUUGAUCUGCAUGAUUCUAGUUCUUUGAAAUUUCUUGACACUUGCUUUGUAUCGUUGUAUGUGAUCUAUUUCUAUGCAUGUUCCAUGUGUAGUAGAAUUAGCUAAUUGUUUAGUCAAGUGUUCUCUAUAUGUCCAAGAAAUCAAGCUUAGGUGUUUUUGCAUGAGGAUUGCAGGUGCAGCCUGAAGAAGAUGAAAAGCCUGAUAUUUGUGAAGUUGGGCUGUUUAAAGAUAUUGCCAAGUGUACGAACAAGCAGUAGUUUCAAAUCUCUGGGUAUUAACUUCCCGCUGGGCAAGGUCUUUUUUUAUUAUUAUUAUUAUCCUUGUAUAGAUCUGUAUUUUCUCAAUUAGUAGAUAGUAAAAAUAACUACUGUCCUGCAAUUUUUUUUUAACUUUAACAAGUGUUCCUCAUAACAGAAAAGUUCAGAAACUACUCCUGUGGGUGUGUGCUUUUUAAAGAGAUACUGAUUUCUCUAGAACAAUCAUAGAGUGCUCCAGAGGUAAUUAGCACAAUUGUGCGAGUCGUGUGCACCAUCAAACGUGCCUUCUGCCUGUCAACUCUAAAUCCACAUGAAACUGACAACACAGUCAAAGGUGAGCCUAAGGGGCAGGCAUUUUCCGAGGCUUCCUAGCACAUUGAGAUAGGCUUGGCCAGUCUGCAACAGGGUCUCUGUCAGAAUUGCAUUUCUAAAACUAAAUUCAAACUGCUUUCAUUUAGGGCGUCAGAACUGAUUGAAAUUCAGAUCUUUAAGAGCCCUUAGUUUUAGGACUUUUCCCGUUCUCAGUCUCCAUCACUUGUUUCGUGAAUCCAAACCCAUUUUGAUCAUAUCCUUGACUCAGUCCUGUAACAAGGAUAAAGGAGAUAUGUUCAUGCUGAGGAAAUAUAACAAAGGAGGGACUUUCCUACAAGAUCUGUGAAAAAAAAAGAACAUUUGCAUAAACCAUAUUUAACCAGAAUGUUUGUUUUAUGUUUUUCCUUUCUGAAUGCUUUGUUACACACCCUUGCAGUCCCCCUCCCUGUCCCCCGACCCAACUAGUCAGCCACAAAGCCUCAAAAAAGUUUCACCUUGGAAUCUUCCUGGCCCCACCCUGAUCAUCCUGCCUGAAUAAUUACAGUUACUGACUCUUCUCCCUGCUUCCGCUUCUCUCCGCUCCCAACCCUCAGACGAGUUCAUCUUCCCAGAAUUUCAUAGUGAUCCUGUCCGUCUAUUGCUCAGGUUUUCCCAGAAACUGUGGAAUAAACUUCACAAGCUUUAGUCUGGAGUUUAAAGCUAUUCUAUGCCUUUUUCACUGCUGGUUCUCUGCUAAGCCUGUAAAACCUAUCUGUCGUUUCUGACUCCAUACCUUCGUCUUAGCUACUUAACCCAUCUUCUGCUUCCUAAUUAGACCUCACUCAGGAUCUAUUUUUAUCAGUAAAUUCUGCUGCCCUUUGCCAAGUGGCCCCUCCCUCCUCCGAAACCAGCAUCUCUGAAUUUGCACCCUCAGCACAGUUAGUGUGCGCUGCCUCGGCUUGUAGUAGAUAUCUUGUAGAUAUCCAGUAGAUAUCUUUUCUCUGCAACCACCACCUCCAGAUGCUGGGUCCUUCAGGGCGGGACUCCGCCUCUAGGUGUCCACAGCCUCUGGUACCGUUCCUUGCAAUAGUAAAUUUUUAGUAGAUGUUUAAUUAGUUAAUUGAAAACCUUAGGCCUCUCUUCAUACUAAACAUGCCCAUGUAAUUUAUCAUUCAAUAGCCAUGUUGAGCAUCUAUUGUCCUCCCAAGAGAGGGGGAGGUUCUCAGGAUGCUGAGAUCAAGAGACACAGUCUGUUCCGGGUUGGGACCGAGGGUGCUUUUGUUGUGAGUUGGAAAGGCCACAUUCUUUUGGCCUGCCCAAGGAGUCCAGCAUUAGUAUUUGAAAUCAAAUCUAUUUUGAGUAAUUUCUUAUUCCCUUUUCUCUUCAGCAUUACACACCAGCUCUUUUUAAUACCACCUUUCCUUACCUAAUAGACAGACACUUAGUAGCCAUGGGGACUUUCCCAAGUUAUUUAAUAUCUCUGGGCUUCAGUUUCCUAAAAUUUGAAACGGGAAUAAUAAUACUGGUGGCCAAGGAUUAAAGGCUGUGAGGAAUGUAACCCAGAUGUCAACUAGGGUCUCUCCUUUAAAAUCCGGAUACAAUGGAUUAAAAAUGCUGAUAAUGUGGAAGCCCAAAACACUUCCUGAGUUCUCAAAAUUCCCAGAGAGCUUAAUUUUCCUGCUCUCUUUGGUACUGAUUUUCUUCUAAAUAUUUGUUUCUAACAAAAUAUUUUGUUCCAACUUUUCUUUUUGUGGCUAUUCCUUCAUAUCUGUCAUUUUCCCAAACUAAGGAAGCAGCCCCUUCACCUUAAACUCCUCCUUCAAAGCGCCCUGAACGCAGGCCUGUGUUUGUAGUAGAAUGUUUACAGAAGGUUUAUGCGAUGCCGAGGGAAUCACACCACCUAACAUUCAUGUCAGUCCUCAGCGGGCAGGCAGCCUCCACAGAGUUCUUGCUAACCGCACCUCUUCCAGUUCUUUUCUAUCUCCAUCCUUUCCUCUUUUUCCUUCUCAUGUCAUCACAGGAGGAAAGAAAACUCAGUUUCCUGAAUUUUCAUACACAGGGCACCCUAGUUACACGUUACUACUGCAGAAGUUCCUGCCAACACUGAGUCUGUAGGCUCUUGCCUUCUGCCUCAGAGGCUUAUCAAGAAAAGACAGGUUUCUCCCAAUUUGGAUUUUGAUGCCAAAUAAGAUCACUGGAUGCCAACUAAAAUAAAUUGAAGAUAAUAAACUUAAAAAUAAAUUGUUACCCUGCUUUUAUCACCAUCAUGGCUACUAGUGCUAUUAGAACUCUUAGAAUUGGAAGCACUCCUACUAGAUCUCUUCCUCAGACCACGGUUCAUACCAAGAUGCCGAGGAAAGUUUAGUUCCGAUUACACCUUUCAGAGUCACACAGGGAAGGCUGUAGAGCAUGAAAUGCCCAGAGCCCGCUAGGUCAGACAAGCCUGCCGAGGCCAAGGGAAAGUGAAAAUCUCAUUAUCUUUCCCAAUAAUUUCCCUGCCUCUUGUCAUGGGUUAUGGGUUGUUCUGGCAGUGGCAGCUUUUCUUUCCUGAAUGAGACGUGUAAACAGAAGGAAGAACCAAACUGCUGGAGUCCAGAGAGGGAAAUUUUAGAAAAACUUUGGAGAAAAGGGAAAUGAAGAGAUGCGUCAGCGGGCAGAGAAUAGAAUCUUUGAGGGGGAGGAGCACGGGCAGGGAAAGGCUAACCAUUGGUUUUCCACAGAAUGGUUUGAGUGUGAAGCCUCUUUCUUGUCUCAUGUAUUUCUCCUUAAGUCGUUAUGGAGCAAGGUCUGUUUCAGACGCGUGUCAAAAACAGAGCACAGUCCUAGGGAGGCCAAGGGGUGAGAGCUGAGGCCACGCAGGGAAAGUGUGUAACACUCUGGCGACAGGUUUUUCUUAUCAGAUUUAGGUCAUAAAAUUAAUUUAGGUAAUAAAAUCUUAAUUUAAUGACAUAUUUCUGCGGGAGACUAAUAUAAGACAGCCCAGGCCCACCGGCCUCUGAUGAACAAAUCCAGAGGACUGGACAGUUCUGUGUCCCUCGACUCUUUCGAUUUCACGAAGGCUCGUACUCUGGGUUAUGGGAAAAAGGGGUUAUUUCAUCUGAUCCGGGACACAACUGUGUGCAGAAGAUAAUGGUAUCCCCAUUUCACGAAUAAGUUUGAAAUUCAGAGAGGCAGAUGACUUGCAGGGUCCCACCACAGAGGUAGAGGUAGGAUUCCAGCUGAGUGGGUCUGACUCCCCAACCUAUGCCCUUCCAUCUCGCCCCAGCAAGAGGGCAGGUGGUGAGCUGACCUCCUGUGGUGAAAAUCUCAGUGCUGGGUUGCUAUCUGAACACAAAUGAAGGACCCUCUGGUGUCUGAUCUCAGGAGAAGGCCUCAGACCUGCAUCUACUCAAGCCCUUGCAUAAGAUCCAGAAUCCUACACCAAAAAGCAGAAAAGCAAGAUUUGGGUGGGGAAAAAAAUCUACAUUUAAGGUUCAGUUCACAAACCAAUUUCAUACCUGACUCAAUCAUUGCAAUAACUCUGUGAGAUAAAAAAGGUACAUUUCAUUCUUAUGUUACAUAUGAGGAAACAGGAAACCAAGUCUCAGGGAGGUUAAUGCCAACAUCUUGUGAAAUUUGCCUUAUGAAUCUUUAUUUCUGUCUUUAUGAAUCUUAUGAAUCUUUAUUUAAGGGAUGUAGCAUGACGUAAUUCCUAAGAUCACAUAGUAGCCUUAGAACUUAAACAUAGACUGUGUUUUUAAAUCUAUACACAUCUUACUUCCAAGAAGUAGCCUCCACUUGAGUUCUUUGAUCCUGAUGUCUUAAUUGAAUACCCUUGCUCUCAGGGCUGCCAUGUGAGUCUGUGCAGGUUGUACACUGCACAACUCUGAGGUAUGUAUCCUGAGCUACAUAAGUGUGAAUGGCACAUCCUAGAUUUAUAGUGCACAACAUGGAGGAUGUUUUGCAACAGCGCUUGUUGUAAUGCAGAAUCUGAGAUGGCUUUGAGAAAGGAAAAUGUAGUCAUUACCAAAAAAUAAUUCUCAUAACAUGUACAAAUUUGUAUGAAAGCUGUAUUGGCCAUGGAGCAAGGAGGUAUUUCCAAAGUUUCUACACAGGACCCUGUUCUCUUAUAAGAAUUCAGCCCUCUAUAUAAUGUUAUAAUCCAAUGUUACUGCAAUAAAAAAAAAAAAAAGAAUUCAGCCCUUGACGUUAGAUGAGUUCAGGUCAUCACAUGCCAUGGAGAAAGGGUUUGCUACAAAUAAUAUCAACAGUACACUGUGUGCUCUUUCUGAUUUAUUUGAAGAAACAUUUAUUGAGUGUCAAGUAAUAAACUAGAUAUUCCAGAGAUGGGGCACAAUCUCUGCCUUUAAGGAGGGUAAAAUUGGGGAGAAAACAUACAUGUGAUAAUUUUUAAGAAAGCAAUCUAAGUAACAUUUUAAAAAACCAAACUGUAUUUUGCACAAAAUUGCAUGUUACAGACUAACUUUGCAGUAGGAGACCAGAAAGGGAAGAUUGCCAUGAGUUGGACUAGUUGAGCACUGGUUAUGAAAGAAGUGGUGAGGGUGGGGCCUUCCUGAGAGGAAUCUUAAUGAAUAGAUAGAAUCUGGGUAGAUGGAUAAGAAGAUUGGGGGUGGGGAAGGAGGAGCAUUUCAGCAUGAGCCAAGGACUCUCCCUCUACUUGUUUUAACACUUUUUUUUUUUUUUUAAGAUUGGCACCUGAG